rfam:Otolemur garnettii contig158535, whole genome shotgun sequence.
GUGCCUGUGGCUCAAAGGAGUAGAGCUCUGGCUCCAUAUACCAGAGGCCGUGGGUUCAAACCCAGCCCCGGACA